rnacentral:rRNA from 1 species
GACAGAGGGUGCAAACGUUGCUCGGAAUUACUGGGCGUAAAGCGCGUGUAGGCGGACCUGCAAGUCGGACGUGAAAGCCCUGGGCUCAACCCAGGAACUGCAUCCGAAACUGCGGGCCUGGAGUGGUGGAGAGGGAAGCAGAAUUCCUGGUGUAGAGGUGAAAUUCGUAGAUAUUAGCAGGAACACCGGUGGCGAAGGCGGCUAUCUGGACGACAACUGACGCUGAGGCGCGAAAGUGUGGGGGAUCAAACAGGG